AAGAGCUUAAGUUAAAAAAACUAUGGACCUUCAAAGUCUAAAACAGGAAAAUCACUCCUAGCCCUUA
rnacentral:tRNA from 1 species